CGUGAGAUGUCACAGAAACACGGGAACAAGAGCAAAACUAAGGCAAAGAAAGUGCGGAUGACUUCAGUAAGGGAACCCCAAUAGGGACUGACUUGAUUCGGCACGUGUGAUUUGGUGCAGCUACAAAGAAGGACCAAGUCUGUCGACAGUGAACACUUCAGGACUUUCUGAGAGAUCUUUGGUACCCCACUGCCCACUCUUAAGGACGGAAAAAUUCUCUUGGACUCACGUCAUCCUAGACGCAACCUUUUCCAGCUACUUUCUUCUGCUUCCACUGGAUCUUCAGUUGUGUCAGUGAUGUGACACAUCGUGGGGAUCCCAGCUUGACAUCCUGGCAGCUCCAGAGUAGACCGUUUAGCUUCAGUGAUUGCCACUCUCUUCUUCGCAACAGUCACCGUGUAGUCUGGGAACAUGCUCACUCUCAUCGUGCAGAAUCAGCAACCCUGAGUGGAUCGCUGUACAGAAGACAUCAUCCUGUUCCGGACAUCAUCUGCCAGAAUGAUCACUUUGAAAAUGUUCACCGUUGUCCUUCUGCUUGUUAGAAGCAUCAGCCUGCCAACAAGGAGAAAACGGUCAAGCCUGACUGAGGAGAAUUUAGGACCAGAAGCCGACCAUUGGAGCCAAGGACAGCCUGACAUUCAAGCAGACGACCGAGAUGUGGCAUUUUUUUCAUCUGAAGCAAUCCAGCGUAUUCUUAAAUUUCCCUCAGAGACUCCAAACCACUAUGACACAAAUAGAAGGUACACCUAUGACACGCAAAACCAUGACAUCACAUAUAACAAACUUCCCCCUUGCUCACACACACAAGACUCCACACAUGAAGAAAAUAUCUCUUGGCCGCAUACCCAAGACUCUGCCCAUGAAGAAGAAAUGCCAUGCCGGCAUGAGCGUGACUCCACACAUAAAGCACAAACUGCUUGCCGGCAUGCCCCUGACUUCACUCAUGAAGAACAAGCUCGUUGCCGGCAUACUCCUGACUUCAACCAUGAAGAAAAAACCCCUGGCCAGCAUAAAACAGACUCUAGUAAUAAAGAAAAAAAACCUUGCGAACAUACUCCUAAACGCAAACAUGAAGAACGAAUGCCUUGCCGGCAUAACCAUAACGA